UGGGGAAUAUUGGACAAUGGGCGCAAGCCUGAUCCAGCAAUGCCGCGUGUGUGAAGAAGGCCUGAGGGUUGUAAAGCACUUUCGGUGGGGAGAACGAGGCCGUUGCUAAUAUCGACGGCGGAAGAUGUUACCCACAGAAGAAGCACCGGCUAACUCUGUGCCAGCAGCCGCGGUAAUACAGAGGGUGCGAGCGUUAAUCGGAAUUACUGGGCGUAAAGGGUGCGUAGGUGGUUAUGUAAGUUAGAUGUGAAAUUUCCGGGCUUAACCUGGGAACUGCGUCUGAUACUGCAUAGCUAGAGUCCUGUAGAGGAAAGCGGAAUUUCCGGUGUAGCAGUGAAAUGCGUAGAUAUCGGAAGGAACAUCAGUGGCGAAGGCGGCUUUCUGGACAGAGACUGACACU
rnacentral:rRNA from 1 species